rnacentral:rRNA from 1 species
AUGCUGCUCUUCCAAAUGAGCGACACUGAAAGGUGCACCGUCUUCCAUAACUUCCUCGCCGACCCCAGGUACACCUUUACAGGCUUCUCCAUCGACGGCGACAAAACCAGGCUGGAGCGCGUCAAACUGGAGGUCGCCAACUUCGUCGACAUCCAGAAGGAGUGGAGAGUGCCCGAGGCAACCAAGCCGUUGGACUCCCUCGAAGACGUCUCCGACGUGCUCAUCGACGACUACUACAACAACAUGAAGAAGAAGAUCACCGACGACAAGCACCAGCGCUGGGCCACCCUGCCUCUGUCCAGGAGGCACAUCGAGUACGCGGCAAAGGACACCUACGCAGCGAUGGCGCCGGUAGUGGACACAUGUGUCUACGUAGAAGGUCUAGAGCUCACCAACACUGAGUGGCGCAGCAAGCUCGGCUGCCUGAUGAUACCCAACAGGAGUUUUUGUGCGCCAUAUCUUCAUCGCCUCACAACCGCAGAUCUACAGGAAAGUUGGAAACUGCCAUCCACAAUAAAAUUUCAUGCUCCGAGUUCAGGGAAGCUUACUUUGGAGAUAGAACACAAGAAUGGCUAUGGGACAUGCAAGGUGACUACCACAUCGACUUUGAAGACUGCAUCAACAUAA